GGGAGAGGAUGAUGAGCAUGAGGCUACGUUUGAAAUCCACUUACCCCAAAAUCUGAUGAAAGCACACUGUAUGUUGUGAGAACCACAUCUUGCUCAGACAGAAGUUUGACAGAUCGGCUGCGCUCUGCACCAUAGUACAGGUUUUAUGAGCAGAUUUGAAACACUCACCAGCCAGUUGCUAAGGACAGACAGAGGACAUACAAUUAAAGUGGCUCUGGCCCCUGAGCCCCCACCGGAUCCAGAUGGGACCUUACUAGUGCCUGCAACCCAUACAGAUGGAUUCCUGUCCAACCCGUGAGGAACUGCAAUCCAGAGCAGCAGCAAAGUCCACAUCAUCCAACAAAACCACUCCUGGGAUUGAGAGAACCAGAACAUAAGAUGUGACUGAAAGUAUUAUCCAACGCUAUAGAAGUGUUGGAUAAUAA